rnacentral:tRNA from 1 species
GCCCUGCUAGCUCAAUCGGUAGAGCGUGAGACUUUUACAAGCCUCGGCGGUGAAGUUUGACAAUUCAAAAAAGAAAUUGAAAUCUCAAGGCUGCGGGUUCGAGCCCCGCGUGGGGCU